rnacentral:tRNA from 1 species
GGGGUCGUGGGGUAGCUUGGCCUAUCCUUCUGGCUUAAGGUUAUUUAAUAACCUGCCAAACGGGGCUAGGCAUGCGAAAAAGCCAGAGACCUGGGUUCAAAUCCCGGCGACCCCA